AUACGGAGGAUCCGAGCGUUAUCCGGAUUUAUUGGGUUUAAAGGGUGCGCAGGCGGGAGAUUAAGUCGGCGGUGGAAUUUUGUAGCGCAACUGUAAAAGUGCCUUCGAAACUGGUUUUCUUGGGGGUAGAUGAAGGAGGCGGGAAUUGUGGGGUAGCGGUGAAAUGCAUAGAUAUCACGAGGAACUCCGAUUGCGCAGGCAGCUUACUAAACUACUACUGACGCUCAGGCACGAAGGCGUGGGGAUCAAACAGGAUUAGAUACCCUGGUAGUCCACGCAGUAAACGAUGAUUACUAGCUGUUUGCGAUACAAUGUAAGCGGCUGAGCGAAAGCGUUAAGUAAUCCACCUGGGGAGUACGUUCGCAAGAAUGAAACUCAAAUGAAUUGGCGGGG
rnacentral:rRNA from 1 species